AGAGUUGAUCAUGGCUCAGAUUGAACGCUGGCGGCAGGCCUAACACAUGCAAGUCGAGCGGCAGCGGAAAGUAGCUUGCUACUUUGCCGGCGAGCGGCGGACGGGUGAGUAAUGUCUGGGAAACUGCCUGAUGGAGGGGGAUAACUACUGGAAACGGUAGCUAAUACCGCAUAACGUCGCAAGACCAAAGAGGGGGACCUUCGGGCCUCUUGCCAUCAGAUGUGCCCAGAUGGGAUUAGCUAGUAGGUGGGGUAACGGCUCACCUAGGCGACGAUCCCUAGCUGGUCUGAGAGGAUGACCAGCCACACUGGAACUGAGACACGGUCCAGACUCCUACGGGAGGCAGCAGUGGGGAAUAUUGCACAAUGGGCGCAAGCCUGAUGCAGCCAUGCCGCGUGUAUGAAGAAGGCCUUCGGGUUGUAAAGUACUUUCAGCGGGGAGGAAGGCGUUGAGGUUAAUAACCUCAGCGAUUGACGUUACCCGCAGAAGAAGCACCGGCUAACUCCGUGCCAGCAGCCGCGGUAAUAC
rnacentral:rRNA from 1 species